rnacentral:rRNA from 1 species
UACGUAGGGGGCAAGCGUUGUCCGGAAUUAUUGGGCGUAAAGAGCUCGUAGGCGGUCUGUCGCGUCUGCUGUGAAAACUCGGGGCUUAACCCCGGGCCUGCAGUGGGUACGGGCAGACUAGAGUGCGGUAGGGGAGACUGGAAUUCCUGGUGUAGCGGUGGAAUGCGCAGAUAUCAGGAGGAACACCGGUGGCGAAGGCGGGUCUCUGGGCAGUAACUGACGCUGAGGAGCGAAAGCGUGGGGAGCGAACAGG